AUACGUAGGGUGCGAGCGUUGUCCGGAAUUACUGGGCGUAAAGAGCUCGUAGGUGGUUUGUCGCGUCGUCUGUGAAAUUCCGGGGCUUAACUCCGGGCGUGCAGGCGAUACGGGCAUAACUUGAGUACUGUAGGGGAGACUGGAAUUCCUGGUGUAGCGGUGAAAUGCGCAGAUAUCAGGAGGAACACCGGUGGCGAAGGCGGGUCUCUGGGCAGUAACUGACGCUGAGGAGCGAAAGCAUGGGUAGCGAACAGGAUUAGAUACCCUGGUAGUCCAUGCCGUAAACGGUGGGCGCUAGGUGUAGGGGUCUUCCACGACUUCUGUGCCGUAGCUAAAGCAUUAAGCGCCCCGCCUGGGGAGUACGGCCGCAAGGCUAAAAAUCAAAGGAAUUGACGGG
rnacentral:rRNA from 1 species